CAGUGUAAUUUACUCAAGAAAAAAAAAAGUCACGGGAUUGGUUGCCAUCAGCUCUUACCAAAAAUAAAAAUGGAUAGAAAGGAGAAAAAAAAAGAAAAACAAAGAAAGAGAUGCCAUCAUCUCCGUGUGGUAGUCUGAACUCAAAGUCGUGUAUUCAGAUCCAUCGUAUCGACUAUUUUAUGUUCACAACUUUACAAUUAGAAAAUUUAUGUUGAGAUUUGAUGUUUCGAGAUUCGAUCCAUAUUGAACCCACAGCG
rnacentral:lncRNA from 1 species